GCUUACGGCCAUAUCAUCCUGGGUACUCCCGAUCUCGUCUGAUCUCGGAAGCUAAGCAGGGUCGGGCCUGGUUAGUACUUGGAUGGGAGACCGCCUGGGAAUACCAGGUGCUGUAAGCA
rnacentral:rRNA from 1 species